rnacentral:tRNA from 1 species
GAGCAUAGUUCAGUAGUAGAAUUUUCCGUUUGGGUCGGAAGGGUCGUGGGUUCAAUCCCCACUGCUC